rnacentral:lncRNA from 1 species
GCAGAAUUCACCAUAAUCAAGAAACCUUUUCCGGGUGGGGGAACCUCAGAAAUUACUCAGCUCCACAUCAGUUAGCAGCUGACCAUUCUCGUGACCAAGAAUCUGUGGCGGAUCCUCCCGUCUCAAGUGAUAUGUUGAUGCCAACUUCCCUGUUGGGUCUGGAUGCUGGACUCACCCAUGAAGAAGUUGGAGCUAUUACAACUUACACACUGAGAACUGACUUAAUCACGUGUGCCAGCGCUUCCUCAUAGAAGCCUGUCUUUUUCUAAAUGCAGUGUUGAAUCAAGGAUGGUGCUGUCUCUAAAAUCAAAGAAGUUGGAGAACCAUCUCACACAAACUGAGAUUAAAGGAUCAUCCUUUUUCCCCCCAAAGUUUCUUAGUUUCCAAA